rnacentral:lncRNA from 9 species
GGGGAGGGGCGCUGCGCCAUGUUUCCGUGUCACCCGCCGAGUCGCCGGAGCUGGGCUCGGCCGCCGGCUCCCGCCUGCCUCCCUAACAGCAGAAAGCGUGCGAUUAGCAGCCAGACAGGCGGGGACUCCGGGCCCGCGGGGCCGCCGCACACGCCGCCCGCGGCCCGGGCCCGCGCCCCCCCGCCCGCCGGGUAAUCAUCCUCCUCGCUGCAGCGCUGUGUGCACUCUCAUUAGAGCAGGGAGGCUUUUCUCUGCGCACUCGCUCGGCUCCCGCUGGCAAAACAACGCCUUCCCCGGCCGGGCCCAGGGCCAGGAGCGCCGGGGAGGGCGGGACGGGGGAGGGGGGAGUGAGGCCGGGCCAGCAGCGCAGGUCAUCUCGGCCGCCCGACCUCCUCGGGGCACGGAGGAGAUGGGGAGGGUCCAGUAGCCCUCCCCACGCGGAGUGGCAAAGUCCGAACCCCGUACCGGUGCCGCCAUGACCUACUCUCGUCCCCCGCCGGAGGCUAGAGUGGGGGCCAAGGGGAGAUGAGUGUGUCUGGUUUGGAGAGCGGGGGCGGACACCGGGCAGGCUCCCAAAACAGGUUUUGCCCCAUCUGUCUUGCGAACCACCUCUUAAGACCAGGCAGAAGCCGGACCCCAGGGGUGGCAGCCCUUCGACCCUCGGGGAGACCUGAGUCCCCAAGCUUCGGGCUUGAUCGUACAGAGAGGGUGGGAGAUGGGGGCGACCGAGGCGCGGCUGCGCCUGGCCCUGAGCGUCGGAGCCCCAUUUUCUGCUCCGCGAUCUCUGCACACAACAGUAGGCAGUCUCUCCCGGCACCACGCGCCCAGCUGCAGGGCCCGGGAGCAGGUGUUCCUGCCCGGCCGGAGUGGCGGCUCCGCGCCCCUCCCGUCCCAGCUGCGGGGGGAGCCGCGCUGAUGGCGGUAAUAGAGGGAGGUCUCGCUGGACCGCGAAAAGGGUCCUCCGGGCUUAAAUGGGGAUGCCCCAGGACGAGGGCGGCCGCCUGGGACCUGGAGGGAUCGAGUUUUCGAAAGGAGCAUUUUUGCGAGAUAAGAAGUGACCGAUCAAGAUCGCUGAGGGGAGGUUGUAAGCAGCCGCUUUGCCUCAGCUUAGCGUUAUCUUAUCUUUCACACUUGCAUGGCGGAAAAAAAAAUUGGCUUAUCUUUAUCCCCACCCCCUUCUCGCCUUAA